rnacentral:rRNA from 1 species
GACGAACGCUGGCGGCGUGCUUAACACAUGCAAGUCGAACGGAAAGGCCCUGCUUUUGUGGGGUGCUCGAGUGGCGAACGGGUGAGUAACACGUGAGUAACCUGCCCUUGACUUUGGGAUAACUUCAGGAAACUUGGGCUAAUACCGGAUAGGAGCUCCUGCUGCAUGGUGGGGGUUGGAAAGUUUCGGCGGUUGGGGAUGGACUCGCGGCUUAUCAGCUUGUUGGUGGGGUAGUGGCUUACCAAGGCUUUGACGGGUAGCCGGCCUGAGAGGGUGACCGGCCACAUUGGGACUGAGAUACGGCCCAGACUCCUACGGGAGGCAGCAGUGGGGAAUAUUGCACAAUGGGCGGAAGCCUGAUGCAGCAACGCCGCGUGCGGGAUGACGGCCUUCGGGUUGUAAACCGCUUUCGCCUGUGACGAAGCGUGAGUGACGGUAAUGGGUAAAGAAGCACCGGCUAACUACGU